AGUGAACGCUGGCGGUAGGCCUAACACAUGCAAGUCGAACGGCAGCACAGUAAGAGCUUGCUCUUACGGGUGGCGAGUGGCGGACGGGUGAGGAAUACAUCGGAAUCUACUUUUUCGUGGGGGAUAACGUAGGGAAACUUACGCUAAUACCGCAUACGACCUACGGGUGAAAGCAGGGGAUCUUCGGACCUUGCGCGAUUGAAUGAGCCGAUGUCGGAUUAGCUAGUUGGCGGGGUAAAGGCCCACCAAGGCGACGAUCCGUAGCUGGUCUGAGAGGAUGAUCAGCCACACUGGAACUGAGGCACGGUCCAGACUCCUACGGGAGGCAGCAGUGGGGAAUAUUGGACAAUGGGCGCAAGCCUGAUCCAGCCAUACCGCGUGGGUGAAGAAGGCCUUCGGGUUGUAAAGCCCUUUUGUUGGGAAAGAAAAGCAGCAGGUUAAUACCCCGCUGUUCCGACGGUACCCAAAGAAUAAGCACCGGCUAACUUCGUG
rnacentral:rRNA from 1 species